rnacentral:rRNA from 1 species
AGAGUUUGAUCAUGGCUCAGGACGAACGCUGGCGGCGUGCCUAACACAUGCAAGUCGAGCGAUGCGAUCCUUCGGGAUCAAUUAGCGGCGGACGGGUGAGUAACACGUGGGUAACCUGCCUCAAAGAGGGGAAUAGCCUCCCGAAAGGGAGAUUAAUACCGCAUAAUAUGUUUUGGUCACAUGGCCUUAACAUCAAAGGAUUUUCUUCGGAAAAUUCACUUUGAGAUGGACCCGCGGCGCAUUAGCUAGUUGGUGAGGUAACGGCUCACCAAGGCGACGAUGCGUAGCCGACCUGAGAGGGUGAUCGGCCACAUUGGAACUGAGACACGGUCCAGACUCCUACGGGAGGCAGCAGUGGGGAAUAUUGCGCAAUGGGGGAAACCCUGACGCAGCAACGCCGCGUGAAUGAUGAAGGCCUUCGGGUUGUAAAGUUCUGUCUUCUGGGACGAUAAUGACGGUACCAGAGGAGGAAGCCACGGCUAACUACGUGCCAGCAGCCGCGGUA